rnacentral:rRNA from 1 species
CAAACAACUUUUUGCAACAGAUAUCUCGGUUCUUGCAUUGAUGAAGAACGUAGCGAAAUGCGAUACUUGGUGUGAAUUGUAGAAUGUCGUGAGCCAUUGAGUCUUUGGACGCAAGUUGCGCCUAAAGCUGUCAAGCCGAGGGCACGUUUGCCUAGGCAGCAAAC